rnacentral:rRNA from 1 species
GACGAACGCUGGCGGCGUGCUUAACACAUGCAAGUCGAACGGAAAGGCCCUGCUUUUGUGGGGUGCUCGAGUGGCGAACGGGUGAGUAACACGUGAGUAACCUGCCCUUGACUUUGGGAUAACUUCAGGAAACUGGGGCUAAUACCGGAUAGGAGCUCCUGCUGCAUGGUGGGGGUUGGAAAGUUUCGGCGGUUGGGGAUGGACUCGCGGCUUAUCAGCUUGUUGGUGGGGUAGUGGCUUACCAAGGCUUUGACGGGUAGCCGGCCUGAGAGGGGUACCGGCCACACUAGGACUGAGAUACGGCCCAGACUCGUACGGGAGGCAGCAGUGGAGAAUGUUGCACAAUGGGCGGAAGCCUGAUGCAGCAGCGCCGCGUGCGGGAUGACGGCCUUCGGGUUGUAAACCGCUUUCGCCUGUGACGAAGCGUGAGUGACGGUAAUGGGUAAAGAAGCACCGGCUAACUACGUG